UUUGAGAAGACCACACGGAGAGUCUGAGAGAGAAUGUGACAAUCUGAAGUACACAUACAACUCACUUGCUGUCGAAACUUCAGUUACCCAAAGGAUUGAUACAGGCCUCUGGACUCCGCAGGCUCCCAAAGCUACUCCUCAUGCCCCUCACGGCACCGCACCGCCAUCCUGACAUCCGUCUUCAAAGUCAGAGCCCAGAGGUUAUCUGUCCAUCUGCCAAUCAAAGAAGAUCCGACAUGUCCCACCCAGACACGAUCGUCGAACAGAGGGAGCACUGAACAGCAGGGGCAUCAGAGUGGGAAGGCAUUGUUCCGGAGAAGACAGACAGUCCCUCUAAUGCAGCCGUCUGGAAGGUGUACAGAGCCACAUCCAAAGACUGAAACCUCAUCACUACUCUCUCAUGCGGGGACACGGAGGUGUGUUGUGUGCUGAAGAAAGCUCAUCCAGCUUUCGGUACAAUGAACAGAUCUAUCAGCCGCUACUCUCCAUUCUUGUCACGGGUCUGGUGAUAAGCACACUUUACUUGUAUCCUCAUACUAGCUUGCUUCAUAAUGAAUAUGAAGCAAGA